UACAGAGGGGGCAAGCGUUGUUCGGAAUUACUGGACGUAAAGGGCGCGUAGGCGGCCUUCUAAGUCGAACGUGAAAUCCCCGGGCUCAACCCGGGAACUGCGUCCGAUACUGGAAGGCUUGAAUCCGGGAGAGGGAUGCGGAAUUCCAGGUGUAGCGGUGAAAUGCGUAGAUAUCUGGAGGAACACCGGUGGCGAAGGCGGCAUCCUGGACCGGGCAUUGACGCUGAGGCGCGAAAGCCAGGGGAGCAAAGCGGG
rnacentral:rRNA from 1 species